rnacentral:snRNA from 1 species
AUGCUCACUUUUGCUGCAUAUACACUAAAUUUGGAACAAUAUGGGGAAGAUUAGCAUGGCCCCUUAUACAGAGAUGACAUGCAAAUUUGUGAAAUGCUCCACAUUUUU